rnacentral:rRNA from 1 species
UGGGUGAUCUGCCCUGCACUUUGGGAUAAGCCUGGGAAACUGGGUCUAAUACCGAAUACACCCUGCUGGUCGCAUGGCCUGGUGGGGGAAAGCUUUUGCGGUGUGGGAUGGGCCCGCGGCCUAUCAGCUUGUUGGUGGGGUGAUGGCCUACCAAGGCGACGACGGGUAGCCGGCCUGAGAGGGCGACCGGCCACACUGGGACUGAGACACAGCCCAGACCUCCGUACGGGAGG